rnacentral:rRNA from 1 species
GACGUCAUAGAGGGUGAGAAUCCCGUAUGUGACUGGUCGCCACGCCCGUGUGAAGCUCCUUCGACGAGUCGAGUUGUUUGGGAAUGCAGCUCAAAAUGGGUGGUAAAUUUCAUCUAAAGCUAAAUAUUGGCCAGAGACCGAUAGCGCACAAGUAGAGUGAUCGAAAGAUGAAAAGCACUUUGGAAAGAGAGUCAAACAGUACGUGAAAUUGUUGAAAGGGAAGCGCUUGCAACCAGACUUGCCCGCGGGUGAUCAGCCGGUAUUCUUACCGGUGCACUCGCCCGUGGUCAGGCCAGCAUCGGUUUGGGCGGCUGGAUAAAGUCCACCGGAAUGUAGCUCCUCUCGGGGAGUGUUAUAGCCGGAGGUGCCAUGCAGCCCGCCCGGACCGAGGACCGCGCUUCGGCUAGGAUGCUGGCGUAAUGGUUGUAAGCGACCCGUCUUGAAACACGGACCAAGGAGUCUAACAUCUAUGCGAGUGUUUGGGUGUCAAACCCAUGCGCGUAAUGAAAGUGAACGGAGGUGGGAACCCUUAAGGGUGCACCAUCGACCGAUCCUGAUGUCUUCGGAUGGAUUUGAGUAAGAGCAUAGCUGUUGGGACCCGAAAGAUGGUGAACUAUGCCUGAAUAGGGUGAAGCCAGAGGAAACUCUGGUGGAGGCUCGCAGCGGUUCUGACGUGCAAAUCGAUC